GAUAAGGAAUAUUUGUGCUAAGCAUAAUGAGUUCAAGCUGAAAGAAUUUGAAUGAAUUGAAGUGUGUGAAUUUUAUUACCAAGCCAAGUGAGCUACUAUCAUUGACAUUCAGAAAUGAGCAUGAUGAAAAUGGUAAGGUCGUGAAUAACAAGGGUAAACUUAUAGCCCAAGGUUUCACAACAAAAAAGGUGGCUGAAUUCGAGAUGAGCAUGAGGGAGAAUUAACAUUCUUCUUCAAGCUCCAUGCCAAGGAAGAAAAUGUCAUUAACUAAGCCAAAUGCACAAAGGGGCAAUUCAAAAGAUUUGGUGGGAAGAAUUCAAUAGUCACAAAAUUUUGGACAAGGAUAAAAGUUGUGGACAACAAAAGCAAAAAUGGUUUAUGUCACUUGUUUUGAAAGUUUAUUUGCGCAAUGAAAACAAAUCUCUUCAGCCCCAUCUAUAGCGGAAGGUGGAUACAUCUCCAUGAGAAAAUAUUUCCUCAUAUGAGGGAAGAAAUUGGUAUUACUAAUGAUAUUUCUUGUAUCCUUUCAUGGUAAAAAUGAUCAUCUUGGUUCUAUGUGCUUAGUAUUUGUGUGUUUCCAAGUAUAUCUUGCAAUCUACCUAAGGUUCUAGAAAGCUACAGAUAUUUUUGAAUCAAUUCAAAUAUCGUUUUCUAUUA